ensembl:lncRNA
CUGCAGUGCUCAGCGGUGUGUCUGAGAUCUGCGAGAUGCUCGUGAACGUCUUCGCAUGUGGAGGAGAAAUACAUGAUCAGGAUGUAGCAGCAGAUCAUUCCGCAGAGUCAGGAGAAGAAGUUGUGAGACUUUCAGUGGAGGAAACUGGACCGGCCGGGACCCAACACUCAGUGCGUCCUUUCUUCUCCACAGAUCCAUGAGACACCUCCUCCGUCAUGACAUGGAUCCCAACCUUGAGGUCACUCCAGUGCCAGCCUUCCACGUGUCCUGCUGUGGUCAUUUCACCAACUUUUGGUGUUAUCAAUUUGGUGUUAUCAUGGCAUGCUUAAUUUUAGCGGAGACGUUAGCCACAGCUUUAUACUCGCUCGCUUCGGUUUUUUACUUGUUGCUCUGUAAUCAUAUUUCUUGCCGUGACUAAUUUAAAAAAAAUGGCUGAACAGAUCUGUGUUGCUGAUACUCUAUAACGUGUCUUUUUAAUACAUCAAAGAGAAGUAGGGGUUGGCUGCUAUUUUUCUUGGGGAUUGUUUUAAAUAGAUAUAGUGCAUAUACACUCGAAU